rnacentral:rRNA from 1 species
GACGAACGCUGGCGGCGUGCCUAAUACAUGCAAGUAGAACGCUGAAGGAGUAGCUUUCUUCUCUGGAUGAGUUGCGAACGGGUGAGUAACGCGUAGGUAACCUGCCUUUUAGCGUGGGAUAACUUUUGGAAACUAUAGCUAAUACCGCAUAAUAGUUCAUGUUGCAUGACAUUUGCUUAAAAGGUUCAAUUGUUUCACUUCCACUUGGACCUGAUUUGUUUUAGCUUGUUGGUGAGGUUUCGGCUCACUAAGGCAACGAUGCAUACCCGACCUGUGAGGGGGAGCGGCCACACUGGGACGGGGACACGGCCCAGACUGAUAAGGGAGGCAGCAAGAGGGAAACGUCAGGAAUGGACGGAAGUCUGACCGAGAAACGCCGAGUGAGUGAAGAAGGGUGUCGGAUCGGAAAGGUCUGUUGUAAGGGAAGAAAGAGUGUGAGAGUGGAAAGUACACACUGUGACGGUAACUUACCAGAAAGGGACGGCUAACUACGUG